UACGUAGGCAGCAAGCGUUGUUCGGAGUUACUGGGCGUAAAGGGUGUGUAGGCGGUUGGAUAAGUGUGGUGUGAAAUCUCCCGGCUCAACUGGGAGGGUGCGCUACAAACUGUCUGACUAGAGUGUGGGAUGGGAAAGUGGAAUUCCUGGUGUAGCGGUGAAAUGCGUAGAUAUCAGGAGGAACACCGAUGGCGAAGGCAGGUCUCUGGGCCACUACUGACGCUGAGAAGCGAAAGCAUGGGGAGCGAACAGG
rnacentral:rRNA from 1 species